ACUCACACAUGCAACAGCAUUGCAAAUGCAGUAUGUCACUAGCUGAGGCGACAAUUUUGUUGCGUCUGUGAAUCUGGCGGAAGGGCUACUGUUGAAAUGUGGUACAUUUAUAUCGACAGUAAUGACUGUGUCAAGAGGGCUCUCAACAAUUAGUUUUAUAUGUAUGUAAAAUAGUCGGGAACAUCCUUUAUUAUGCUUGAUCUUGCCCUUAACAGCUUCAAUUACUGCUAGUUUCUUAAUUCGUAUACCACAUUCCAAUUUGUUUGUACAAUGGUUACUGUUUUCUGCUUCCUCAUUUUCUUUUUGCUUUUUUUACGCUAGCUCUUAGUUCUCUUGCAAUACAUCUUCAAGGAACCGACAAGAUGAGUUUAAUAGGACGCCGUAGUAUGAGUCAGUGUGUAGAAACCUAUCUACAGAACAUAAAAACUGCAACUGGCGCCAUAACAUUGUGCAAAUUAUUAGCUGAUAUCAAUUUCAAUUUCUUUGAUAGAUUGGCAAAGAUAAUACAACUUAUUAAAAAAAAUAUUGUUUUGUUUACAGUGGGUUAAUACUGUAGUUAAUUUGCGAGAUCCUCUUCAAAAUAUUCAAAGAAUCAUACGGACCUUCAUAGCAUAGUAAUUCAGAUAGCCCUUUAAGUUGCAUUACUUACUACUGACCACUAAGAGCGAUGUCAUGACAAAUCCACCUAAUAAUGUAUAACUUUUACCAACUGUUCCGGUUGAUUGCUAUCAACUAACCAAAAUUCGAGACUUCGUAAUUAUGUACAACAAAAUUUCGGAACAUUGCUUCAGGCGUUGUGUAACGUCAUUUAAUGACCGUGAAUUGAGCGCAGAUGAGGUUACAUGUGUGGAACGCUGUGCAGCCAAAGAAAUAUCGUUAAAU